CUAGGGUAGGGUCGGUGAUCGGGGCUAAGUCGUAACAAGGUAGCAGUAGRUGAACCUGCAGAAGGAUCA
rnacentral:rRNA from 1 species